rnacentral:tmRNA from 1 species
GGGGCUGAUUCUGGAUUCGACGGGAUUUGCGAAACCCAAGGUGCAUGCCGAGGGGCGGUUGGCCUCGUAAAAAGCCGCAAAAAAAUAGUCGCAAACGACGAAACCUACGCUUUAGCAGCUUAAUAACCUGCUUAGAGCCCUCUCUCCCUAGUCUCCGCUCUUAGGACGGGGAUCAAGAGAGGUCAAACCCAAAAGAGAUCGCGUGGAUGCCCUGCCUGGGGUUGAAGCGUUAAAACGAAUCAGGCUAGUCUGGUAGUGGCGUGUCCGUCCGCAGGUGCCAGGCGAAUGUAAAGACUGACUAAGCAUGUAGUACCGAGGAUGUAGGAAUUUCGGACGCGGGUUCAACUCCCGCCAGCUCCACCA